GCUGCUUUUCCGGCACCAGCAGGAUUUUUCCAAGUUCACUGGCCCCGCCUCCCUCACAGGUGAGGACCUCCAGCAUGGCUCCAGUCAGGAGGACUUCCUGUGGAUGACAAAAUUCUAUUCUGUUGUGGAGAGUUUGGGCUCCCCCUCCGUCCCUGAGAGCUGUUCCAAAGAUAAGACGAUACACCUGCAGGAUACAGACACACCUUAUUCUCUGAGUGAAGGCCAACAGGAACCAUGAGCAUAAUACCUGCCUGGAAACCAAAUUCAUCCCUCUGUCCAUCCGGGCACAGAGACUGCAUGAUGGGAAUGAUGCCAGCAGAGGUGAGAGGAGCGGCGCUGUAAAAGGCUACAUGUGAGGAAGGAAACACCGGGAAGGAUGGACCAAACCCCAG